rnacentral:tRNA from 1 species
AGCCCCGUGGUGUAGCGGCCAAGCAUAUGAGACUCUGGAUCUCAUGACCCAGGUUCGAAGAAAUCCCUUUCUUUAAGAAAGAAAGGUCUUACAACCCCAAAGAAAAAAAUUCGAAUCUCCUGGCGGGGCUA